rnacentral:sRNA from 1 species
UGACCGUCACCGGGAGGAAACUGCCUCCUC